UCUUAGAUGACUGAGAAUUUAAGUGUUAGAUUUUUAAUCUAAAAACGGCAUAAAGAUAAUGCCUCUAAGAG
rnacentral:tRNA from 1 species